rnacentral:rRNA from 1 species
AUUGAACGCUGGCGGCAGGCUUAACACAUGCAAGUCGCGCGGGGUGAUGGUGCUUGCACUAUCACUUAGCGGCGGACGGGUGAGUAAUGCUUAGGAAUCUGCCUAUUAGUGGGGGACAACAUCUCGAAAGGGAUGCUAAUACCGCAUACGUCCUACGGGAGAAAGCAGGGGAUCACUUGUGACCUUGCGCUAAUAGAUGAGCCUAAGGCGGCUUAGCUAGUUGGUGGGGUAAAGGCCUACCAAGGCGACGAUCUGUAGCGGGUCUGAGAGGAUGAUCCGCCACACUGGGACUGAGACACGGCCCAGACUCCUGCGGGAGGCAGCAGUGUGGAAUAUUGGACAAUGGGGGGAACCCUGAUCCAGCCAUGCCGCGUGUGUGAAGAAGGCCUUAUGGUUGUAAAGCACUUUAAGCGAGGAGGAGGCUCUUUUGGUUAAUACCCAAGAUGAGUGGACGUUACUCGCAGAAUAAGCACCGGCUAACUCUGUGCCAGCCGCCGCAGUAA